AUUGAACGCUGGCGGCAGGCUUAACACAUGCAAGUCGAGCGGGGUGAUGGUGCUUGCACUAUCACUUAGCGGCGGACGGGUGAGUAAUGCUUAGGAAUCUGCCUAUUAGUGGGGGACAACAUCUCGAAAGGGAUGCUAAUACCGCAUACGUCCUACGGGAGAAAGCAGGGGAUCACUUGUGACCUUGCGCUAAUAGAUGAGCCUAAGUCGGAUUAGCUAGUUGGUGGGGUAAAGGCCUACCAAGGCGACGAUCUGUAGCGGGUCUGAGAGGAUGAUCCGCAACACUGGGACUGAGACACGGCCCAGACUUCUACGGGAGGCAGCAGUGGGGAAUAUUGGACAAUGGGGGGAACCCUGAUCCAGCCAUGCCGCGUGUGUGAAGAAGGCCUUAUGGUUGUAAAGCACUUUAAGCGAGGAGGAGGCUCUUUUGGUUAAUACCCAAGAUGAGUGGACGUUACUCGCAGAAUAAGCACCGGCUAACUCUGUGCCAGCAGCCGCCGUAA
rnacentral:rRNA from 1 species